AGAGUUUGAUCCUGGCUCAGAAUCAACGCUGGCGGCGUGCCUCAGACAUGCAAGUCGAACGAGAACCUCCCUUCGGGGAGGGGACAGUGGCGCACGGGUGAGUAACACGUGGGUAAUUUACCUUUGGGUGGGGAACAACAGCCGGAAACGGCUGCUAAUACCGCAUAAUGCAGCGGCAUCGCAAGAUGACAGUUGUUAAAGCGGGGGAUCGCAAGACCUCGCGCCUAAAGAGAAGCCCGCGGCAGAUUAGCUAGUUGGUAGGGUAAUGGCCUACCAAGGCAACGAUCUGUAACCGGCCUGAGAGGGCGGUCGGUCACACUGACACUGACAUACGGGUCAGACUCCUACGGGAGGCAGCAGUCGGGAAUUUUGGGCAAUGGGCGAAAGCCUGACCCAGCAACGCCGCGUGAAGGAUGAAGCUUUUCGGAGUGUAAACUUCACAAGAAUGGGAAGAAUAAGUGUAGGAUAAUACCCUUCACGAUGACGGUACCAUUUGUAAGCUCCGGCUAACUCCGUGCCAGCAGCCGCGGUAAUACGGGGGGAGCAAGCGUUGUUCGGAUUUACUGGGCGUAAAGGGCGCGUAGGCGGCGCGACAAGUCACUUGUGAAAUCUCUGAGCUCAACUCAGAACGGUCAAGUGAUACUGUCGUGCUAGAGUGCGGAAGGGGCAACUGGAAUUCUUGGUGUAGCGGUGAAAUGCGUAGAUAUCAAGAGGAACACCUGCGGCGAAGGCGGGUUGCUGGGCCGACACUGACGCUGAGGCGCGAAAGCUAGGGGAGCGAACGGGAUUAGAUACCCUAGUAGUCC
rnacentral:rRNA from 1 species